GGGAGCGUUCCCGAGCGGCCAAAGGGGGCAGACUGUAAAUCUGUUGUCUAUGACUUCAGUGGUCCGAAUCCACUCGCUCCCACCA
rnacentral:tRNA from 3 species